rnacentral:lncRNA from 1 species
AGCCAGCGCCGGGCGCUGAGGUUGCAGAGGGGGAGAGGCUUCCCCUCGCCUCAGCCUAUCCCAGGCCUCUCUUCCGGUGACAUCACGUCUCCUAGCAACCGCGGGACGGUGGGCGGGGCCGGAAGUAGGGGAGUCGGGUGCCCCAGAUCCCGGCCUCGGAGAAAUGCGUUUUUGUCGCCGGCACCCACUGAGGAGCGGACAGAUUAUAGACUGUUUGGAUGUUGGCAGGAAAAGUCUCGAAGAGUUUGGGGAACUGUAGGAGAGUCGUCCCUGAGAACAAGAAAGGGGAUGGAUCCAGACCCAUGCGGAGGAGUUGGCAGCAUUGAAAUGCCCAUGAGGACAGAAUUUCAGUGGACAUGUGAUGGAGAGGAAUUCAGUGAGACUCAAAGCAAGUACAAGGUGUUGAGUCCUCAUGGCACUCAUCAGAAAUUACCAUAUGUGUUUCUGUCAGAGUUCUUUCCCAGGGAAACUGACGUCCACCAGCUUUUGGAGACCCAGAUUUGAAGAACCGUCCUAUUAAUAUUUUAGUAUUUUUAUGUCACUCAGAGGACUAUUUUAUUUGCCUGAUCUCAGGAAGAGAUAAUUUUUGGUUGAUCUUUUUGUUUGUUUCACAUCACAAUAGAAGAGUAUUUUUGGAAAAUGUGAAAAUAAAUAAAACCCAGAACUCCUAGUUUUAAAAUGUGUUGCCAG